rnacentral:tRNA from 1 species
UUGCGGGGGCAGGAUUCGAACCUGCAGUCUUCAGGUCAUGAGCCUGACGAGUUGACCCGCUAUAAAGGUAGGGC